GGAAUAUUGGGCAAUGGGCGCAAGCCUGACCCAGCAACGCCGCGUGAAGGAAGAAGGCUUUCGGGUUGUAAACUUCUUUUAAGGGGGAAGAGCAGAAGACGGUACCCCUAGAAUAAGCCACGGCUAACUACGUGCCAGCAGCCGCGGUAAUACGUAGGUGGCAAGCGUUGUCCGGAUUUACUGGGUGUAAAGGGCGUGCAGCCGGGCUUGCAAGUCAGGUGUGAAAUCUAUGGGCUCAACCCAUAAAUUGCACUUGAAACUGUAGGUCUUGAGUACCGGAGGGGCAAUCGGAAUUCCUAGUGUAGCGGUGAAAUGCGUAGAUAUUAGGAGGAACACCAGUGGCGAAGGCGGAUUGCUGGACGGCAACUGACGGUGAGGCGCGAAAGUGUGGGGAGCAAACA
rnacentral:rRNA from 1 species